GGAGGGGUGGCCGAACGGUAAAGGCAGCCGACUUAUAAUCGGUAGGUGGGGUAACUCACUCGAGGGUUCGAAUCCCUCCUCCUGAU
rnacentral:tRNA from 1 species